UUGAACACAUAUAGUAAGUUAGUAACCAAUCAACCAUGGCAAAGGCCCAGGCAAUGGGCGCUCUCCUGACCGUCCUGGUGGUCCUCGCCACGUCGGCCGAGAUGGCGCACGGCAUCUGCAACCUGUCGAGCACCGGCAUCCGGGCAUGCCAGCCGGCGGCGGCCAUCCGCAACCCGACCGACCAGCCGUCGUCGGAGUGCUGCGCCGCCCUGGCGGGGGCCGACCUGCCGUGCCUGUGCCGGUACAAGAACGCCGCCGGCGUGUGGGUGAGGUUCUACAGGAUCGACAUCAACCGCGCCAUGGCGUUGCCGGGCAAGUGUGGUCUUGCGAUGCCAGCCAACUGCUGAUGAUCACCGGUGCCUUGCUGCGUAUACAACUACUACUAUGUAGCUACGUGAUCGAAUAAAUGAUGCCCGUAAAAGACCUGUGUGUCAGAACUGUAUUAUGCAUUGUAUGUCCCGUCCACUGCAAAUUAAGUUGGACGCAAGUAUGAAUGGAGGAUCUUUAAUGACUCUCACAGAGCUUUAUUUGUGUUUGUCGAGCAAUCCUUAAUGAAAAUCAUUUGUUUUCAAGUCGUGGGAGUAUAGAGUCUUCAAAUGUAUACUGGAUAAAUACCAGAUGCACUAUUUUUAGAUAUUUUAGCGAUGGGAGAAAGGAGAGAGAAAACUGCAUCGUGGAAGAGAAGAAAAAUCUUUGCAGCAUGUACUUUUUCCAGACAUGGUUCAUAGUAGUAUAUUCAGAAAAAAUCACAUGAGUGAAAAGUUUAUGAAAAUGUCACUGACAAGCCCUUGAUCAUGGCUAUCAUCCUACUAGGAAAAUUAAAGCUUCUAUCUUCACAUGAGAGUAAGAAAUUGGAUGCUUAAUUAACUAGGAAUAAUCUGUAUUCCUGAAAUUGCUUUGGAGACAUGAUUUUGGGGCAAGUUUUUGAAGUACAAGUGAAUUGCUCACAUUUUCCUAUCAGUUUAAACUUUUAGGCGGGAUUGGUUGGUAGUGGAGACGGUUGGCACAGUCUUUGUACGGAGGCAAACACUCGCUCUUGGAUUACAGCGCCAUAAAGCAACUCAUUAAAUAUUAUUGUGCUUGGUAGCUUUUCUUUUGUCUGCGAUAGCUAGAGUCCAGAAAUAACAAGCCGAAUAGAACAAUGAACUGUGUAUAUAGCAUUGUAUCGUGAAUUCCUUCGAUUUAUAUCAGCGCAUCCAGCUAGUGUUGGCUGGCAAUUGGCUGAAAAAAUGGUCAAUACAAAGACGAUAUAUGUGUUUUAACAAAAAAAUUUAGUGCCUGUCGACAUCUGCAUCAAACUUUUGGAGCCCUGGUCCUCAAAUGCUAUCAUGGAUGACCAGUAAGACCUGAGCUAUCGAUCAUGCAUGGACACUCGAUCAUGGGUGCUUGCCCAACCCAAUAGGCAAUAGCACUACUGAAGUCGGCACAGAAUUACAUUUAGAUAGCCAGACAUUGACACUAGAACAUAUUUAGGCAGUAUGAUUUUCUUAUGCAAUUCUCAUCAAGGCCUGUUAAGUUUUUGCAGAACACCACGAGAACUUAAACAUGUAUCACGCUACAGUACUUUUAAAAACAAUUAAUUCAUUUGACCUACCUAGAAUAAUUAACUAAAGUACACGACUGAAAGAAAAGAUGCAAUUGGUCUAUAUAUAUGUUUUUAAUGGAUUUUUUAUGGAGCAGUGGUGUAUGGAUGAAAACUACCAUGGGCUGAAUAGAAGAUUUGGUCAAAACAUUUAGCUUGUAUUCUCAGUUAACAAUUAUCUAGUUAUAAAUUUGAAUAUCUGAUUAAUUCUUGUAGUCUAUUGGAGCUUCUAUCUUAUAGAUAACUAGAUUCUAUAUAUAACACAAAAACUAUAGUACCAUACGGUACCCUUAAAAAUACUCCUACAUAAGAGAGAAUAACCAAACACUGACACUAAAUCGUCUCUUGGCAAAACCUUUUUAGAAGCACUUGUCCUCUCUCAAGCCAGUCCUGGCUAGUUUGCCAAUUAAGCUAGAUAGCACUCUUGACAAGUUGAUUGUUUUGUCGUCGUUUUAUUUAGAUUUCUUCAACGCUUUGCUUUCGAAGUCGUUCAAGCAUACUUUAUCAUCUUCGAAACACACGCACGCACGCACAAGUUCCAACAUUUCACGAUGUUGAUGGUUAUUUGUGCGUGGCUCUGUUAGUUAAUCUCAUUUUCAUUUAGAAGCUUCUCAAAUGGCCAAUGGUGUUUGCAUUGUAAUUUUUUUUUGCAUUUUUUCCUACUAAUGGUGAAAAAAAUUCCAGCAAAACAUUAUUGACUAAGAAUUACUGUCAAAAAAUUCACAAUAGAAAAAUUAUAAAAAAUUGACGACACUAUCAACAACUUAAUAAUGUAACUCUUGAAAAAUAAUGAGAUCAUCUAGUGACAUAUAGUAUCCAAACUUUCAAAACCUUGGCUAUAUAUAUAUUUGAAAACUUAAAUUUUAUCUCAAACGGAAUUUCACACUCUUAAAAAGAUUUGUUCAAUUUUAAAUAUAUUGUACAAUGGAAGUUUGUGGCCCAUCAAUUCUCAGAGACCUGGAGGCGUCCAACGAGGACGAAAUUCUUUACCAGUUAUGAAUUCCUUAACAUUUUUCUCUUUGCAAGGACCACACAUAUGAUCUCCCACUUUUGUUUUUAUUAGCAAUAUAGAACUUGUGUCCAGCUGGAAAUCACGUCGAUCGAAAGAACUAUCACAGGAAUAUUAGGUAUGUAGUAGCAAUACUUAUCAGUAAGAGCGUGACAUGUUCCACACUAUGGUCCUAUAAAUAGGAACUCGCACCAAGCUCUCUCUUCACACCAGCUCACGCAAAACAUAGAGCCGAAAACCCAAAACAACCAAGUCAGUAGCUCUUGCAAGAAAAUUAACAUUAGACACAAUGGCAAAAACACAGAAAUUAGCUGCACUGCUGCUUGCCAUUGUAGUUGCCCUCGCCACAAUGGAGGGCGCCCAUGCCAUCUGCGGCAUGGCGAACGAGGACUUCAAGCUGUGCCAGCCGGCGGCGGCCGUGAAUGACCCGACCGACAACCCGUCGGCGGAGUGCUGCGCCACCCUUGGUAAGGCCGACCUGGGAUGCAUCUGCCGCUACCGGGGCGUCGCCGGCAUAUGGAUGAGGAUCUACCACAUCGACCCCAGCCGCGCCAUGGCGUUGCCGGGCAAGUGCGGCCUCACCAUGCCAAACAACUGCUCGUGAUGCCAUGCUCGAGUCUAUGAUCGCAUUCCCGCAAAAAAAAAAGAGUCUAUGAUCGUACAUCGUGCAUCCAUAUGACUAGCUCAAUAAGCGGAAGGGCGUGAAAGGCCUUGUGUGCUAGUGUUACAGUGCCUGUGCUGAAAUAUUUAAAGUUGCUUUCAUAUGAAAGUGUGUGCAGAAGUGCACGACGUUUGUUGUCUAUCAGUUCAUAAUGUUAAGUGUAAGACUCUAAGGCUGCUAGCCUUAUAGUGCCUGUGCUGAAAUAAUUAAAAUUGCUUUCACAUGAAAGUGUGUGCAGAAGUGCGACGUUUGUUGUCUAUCAGUAUCAGUUUAAGUGUAAGACUCUAAGGCUCCCUUUGGUAGGCUUCGGGAGGUGUUUCUCCACCGGCUCCACCCGAAGCCCUGCCAAAUGGUAGGAGGGCAAAUAGUUUCAUUUGAGAAGCUCCUGAAAAUACGCUGAGAGGAGCCAGAAGGAUGUGCGGGAGCAAAAAAAACAGCUCUCUGCAGCUCCUCCCUGUCUGCGGGACUGAAGCCCCAAGUUUGCCCCUGAGCGGCCAGGCGAGGCAGCAGUAGAGGACGACGGGCGCGGGCAAGGCGUGGGUGGAGGAAGGCAGCUACGCGGGGAGGUAGGGUGGAGGAAGACGGCGGCAUGGGCGUAGGUGCCCGGUGGCGGUGGGUGCCUGGGCGGCGGUAGAAAUGGAUGGGAGCAAGAGGCGGGGAGGAGGAGUAGGCGGUGGGCAGCAGCGCUUGCGGGGUUGGGAUGAGAAGCUACAGCGGCACUUGCAUGCCUGAGAUGGGUGGCAGUAGCAGCAUUCGCAUGGCCAAGACCAAAGGCAACGGCGACGCAGCGCGCCGGCCGGGAUGGGAAGCCAUGGUGGUGGAGAUACUCGUGCGGCAAUGAAUCGGGACGGCGAAGCCAGAGUGGAGCGCUCAGGCCAUCCGGCGUCGGAGCAUGCUCCUGGCAGGAUAAGGGUGGUGAGGAGGAAUGGGAGUGGCUCGUGGAGAGGAUGAGGGUGUUCAGAUAAGGAAGACAAGGUAGGAGGGAAGGGAAUAAAAUAGAAAGGGGAAAAUGGAAGAGAAAAAAGGAGGGGAGAAAAGGAACGGGAGAAAGAAGAAAAAGAAAAAAAUGAUCAAUAUGCAAUUAUACUCAUUAACUUUUUUUAUUUAUAUGAACAACUAAAUCAAUUUGGUAGGAGUAAAUUGGACAUUUCACCACUUCCAUUCACUUAUGAGGGGCACGAGAAGCCGUUCUAUCAAACACUUUUUAGAACGGUUUCAGCUUCACCAGAGAAGCUUCUCCACCAGAGGAGCCAGAGCCGUUUCAGCUACAACCACAGCCCUGCCAAACAAGCCCUAAGUUCUGCGGAAUACUAUCUGUGACGAUUUAGAAGCAUAUGGAUACAGAAGCAUGUUCUACAAACUAAAUCAGAUUCUAGCAUGUUAUUAAUUCGAAUUGCGUCCUGGGACGAGGGCAUGCAUACAUAGUAAAUAGUAUUUUAUGCAGUAAUUAAUAACUAAAAUGUUCGGCGUAUUUUAACCGUACAUUAGAAAUUAACAAUGAUGGGAGUCGUUUCCUGACUUCAACCAUUAUAUUUUCCUUAAUAAACUAUAAAAACGAAAUCAAUGCUUUUUAAUGUUAAGGUGUACUUUGUGUAUCAUAUUCCAUCAUCUAAAAGAAACAACAGUUUGCGACUGCAACCAUUAUUGGAAUUCCCGUACAUGCUCUGAUAUUCCAUUAGUCUGGUGUUAUUACGAUUUUUCCGUAAUUUUUAGCACAUGUUUGGCAUUUAUAAGAACCGAAUCAUGAAAUAAUUGAAUGAAAGUUUACUUUAAUUACAUCAUCCAGACUAAAGAAAUACUAGGCGUCUCUAUGUUUCCUUUUAAUCUCUCUCCAGGGUUUAGUCUUUCUUUCUGGUUAAUUGCAUAGUGACUUUGUUAUUUACUAAAAUGGGCAACUACUAAACCAGGUCAGCUAGAACCCUGCAAACUGAGCCACUUGCUUGUUCCCAUUGUUUACUUUCAUCCGAUCUUCCCCAUUGUUUACUUCCAUCCGAUCUUCGAAAGUGCAGUAACGAUUGCUGUCAUUCCUUUGAAUGCAGUAGUAAAAGGACAGGAAACUAAACAAAGAAAUUCAUGCACCAAACUGCGCUUACGGCCUGGCAUGCCAUCGCACGCGCAUAUCACGAGCUGUGCAGACAUUAUGAAGAGAGGUCGGCAUAUAUUAUCUCUGCUACUAUACUUUUGCUCACUUUUGUUGAUCAGGAUAUUUUUGCUAUAUGUGGCCGUCCCCAUCAUUUGGCACAACUGACUGAUGUCAGCAGAGCACGAUCUAUCAGCAGCAGCUCGCUGCUCGUAGACAUCAUAUCAAUCUCAGAAUGGAGUGUUUGCCAUGACAGUAGUGCUUCGAUAUCCGGACGAAUUCGUCAAGGAAAGCUGCCCAGCCUUUGCUGCAUGCAUGAAUGUCUUAGGCGGAAUCAUAUCCAUACAGAAAAAGCAAUGGAGUAAGUUCGUAUGAGUGAAUUCUGGAUCGACCAAGAUAUAGGGGGGAAAAACCAAAACUUGAAUCCCUAAUUGCUCCGCUACGGGCCGCAGUAAGUAAAGAACUGUAGAAAACUUACACUAAUCCAUUUGCAUGCACAAAGCCUUGAAAGUUUUGAAUGCUUUUCAAUAUUCCUUCUGUUCUAAAAUAUAAGGUGCUGUUUGAGUUGAGGUCUCCAAGAUUAAGCAUUGACCUCUAAUUUAUCAAAUAAUCAAUUAUUUCUAUUGCAUCAAACGUUUUUAGAUGAACGCACCGAUGUUGAGCAUGAUCCAAAUUCUAAUGAGACUAGCGUGUUGUAGUUACACAGUUCCAUUAUGUCUCUCCAUAUAAUGCCAUGCGGUUCUCCUGCAUGUUCAAUAGAAAAUGUCAACUCUGAUCAGGCUUUGUAUAAAAAAAACAUAUUGGAAUUGUUUAUAUGAUACCUUUAUAAACUAUAGAAUUCUCCCAAAAUACAAAAGUGCUAUAUGUGUGCAAACUACUGUUUAUUAGAAAUGGCCACUAUACAUCAACAUUUCAUUGUGAAUCUAUUACUGAUCAUGAAGGGGCCAAGACGACAGACUUGGAUUUAUUACGAUAGGAUGCAAUUCCACUCCUACGCACCUUACUUGAAUGGAUUUUGAUAAAUGUACUUGACUAUUAUGUUACAUCUAUUGAUGAGGUAGUCGAUCAGUUUCCUCUCAAGGAUUGUUGGAUUGUAGCUAGUGAGUUAACCACGUCAGGUUUUUAAAAAUAAAUAAUGUUGUGCUCCUUAGUGCUGAAAUCACGAUGAACGAUCAAGCUUUACUUUUUACCUUUUUUCAAAUGUGUAUUUUACUGCUGGAAAAGAAGCUUUUUUUUUCCUGCAGGGCCGUCGCAAUGUACUCGAAAACGAGGAGUAAGGAUCACUUUGUAAUAUCUGAAACAGGCAGCGUGUAUAUUACUUAAAAGCCAUCAAAACUUCACCCUAUAAAUAAGACCCCAACACCAAACGCUCUCCUCACAACUUCAAACCAACCAAAUCUACAACCUAGACCUAACAAACCACCCAAAUUUACAACUUGAUCAGCACAUAACCAUGGCGAAGGCACAGGCAAUGGGCGCGCUCCUGACCGUCCUGGUGAUCCUCGCCACGUCGGCCGAGAUGGCGCACGGCAUCUGCAACCUGUCGAGCACCGGCAUCCGGGCGUGCCAGCCGGCGGCGGCCAUCCGCCACCCCACCGACCAGCCCUCGGCGGAGUGCUGCGCCGCCCUGGCGGGGGCAGACCUGCCGUGCCUGUGCCGGUACAAGAACGCCGCCGGCGUGUGGGUGAGGUUCUACAGGAUCGACAUCAACCGCGCCAUGGGGCUGCCGGGCAAGUGCGGCCUCGCGAUGCCGGCCAACUGCUGAUGAUCGCCGGGGGUCAUCAGCCCAUCG
rnacentral:lncRNA from 1 species